rnacentral:rRNA from 1 species
CAGUAGCCGCGGGAAUACGGAGGGGGCUAGCGUUGUUCGGAAUUACUGGGCGUAAAGCGCACGUAGGCGGCUUUGUAAGUUAGAGGUGAAAGCCUGGAGCUCAACUCCAGAAUUGCCUUUAAGACUGCAUCGCUUGAAUCCGAGAGAGGUGAGUGGAAUUCCGAGUGUAGAGGUGAAAUUCGUAGAUAUUCGGAAGAACACCAGUGGCGAAGGCGGCUCACUGGCUCGGUAUUGACGCUGAGGUGCGAAAGCGUGGGGAGCAAACAGGAUUAGAUACCCCCGUAGUCCCUGUCUCUUAUAC